CAUGCACUUACCCCUUAAGUUAGUCCCCUUAAGACCCAUCAAACCAAGCCUUUAGACCUUAAGAUCAAAACCAAUCCCAAGCCCAAAUAGAAAUCCCACACUAUUCUGUUCUACAACUCGAGCUAGCUCGAUCAGAUCCCAAGUCAACUUGACUGCCAUGCCAGCAGCGUGCUAUGAAAUGCUACUCUUUGUUUGGCCUUCGAGUUGGCUCUCUCAGGGGUCCGAGCUGGCUCGAGCUGAUUUGAGUCACCUUUUUCAGGAUCCGAGCUCACUCUAUUAUUGGCAGAAUUCUUUUGUUUGGUUCCUCACUCUACCUUGCAUCUCAAGUAUCCAAAGCCCCAA
rnacentral:lncRNA from 1 species